UACGUAGGGUGCAAGCGUUAAUCGGAAUUACUGGGCGUAAAGGGUGCGCAGGCGGUUCUGCAAGUCAGGCGUGAAAUCCCCGGGCUUAACCUGGGAAUGGCGCUUGAAACUGACGGGACUGGAGUAUGGCAGAGGGAGGUGGAAUUCCACGUGUAGCGGUGAAAUGCGUAGAGAUGUGGAGGAACACCGAUGGCGGAAGGCAGCCUCCUGGGCCAAAUACUGACGCUCCAUGCACGAAAGCGUGGGGAGCAAACAGG
rnacentral:rRNA from 1 species